rnacentral:sRNA from 1 species
AGCGGAGACCCCGCGCGCCCGGCCGGCCCGGAGCACCGAGCUCGCGGCACGGUAGGAGAAGCCCCCGAGCGCCCACAGUAUGAAGGAGGAGGCCUUCCUCCGACGCCGCUUCUCCCUGUGUCCGCCUUCUUCCACCCCUCAGAAAGUCGACCCCCGGAAGCUCACCCGGAACCUGCUCCUCAGCGGAGACAAUGAGCUCUACCCACUCAGCCCAGGGAAGGACAUGGAGCCCAACGGCCCGUCGCUGCCCAGGGAUGAAGGGCCCCCGACCCCAAGCUCUGCCACGAAGGUGCCACCGGCAGAGUACAGGUUGUGCAACGGGUCAGACAAAGAAUGUGUGUCCCCCACCGCCAGGGUCACCAAGAAGGAGACUCUCAAGGCACAGAAGGAGAACUACCGGCAGGAGAAGAAGCGCGCUACACGGCAGCUGCUCAGCGCUCUGACAGACCCCAGCGUGGUCAUCAUGGCCGACAGCCUGAAGGUAGGUGACGCCCAGCCACCGGCCACCCAGGACGCGGGUCAGCGUGCUGCUGCCAUAACAAAGGACCACAAACCAGGUGGCCUGAAACAAUGGAAAUUCACUUCCCUGCAUCCAGCCGUAUCACUGCAGCCUCUGCUCCGUCCUCAUGAGGCCUUUCCUUAUCCACCUGUCUCCUCCUUUUUAUGAGGAC